GACGUAGGGCGCGAGCGUUGUCCGGAUUUAUUGGGCGUAAAGCGUGCGCAGGCGGUUUUGUAAGCCCGAUGUGAAAGCCCCGGGCUCAACCUGGGAAUGGCAUUUGGGACUGCAAGGCUGGAGUUUGGCAGAGGAGACUGGAAUUCCUGGUGUAGCAGUGAAAUGCGUAGAUAUCAGGAGGAAUACCGAUGGCGAAGGCAGGUCUCUGGGCUAUAACUGACGCUCAUGCACGAAAGCGUGGGGAGCAAACAGG
rnacentral:rRNA from 1 species